rnacentral:rRNA from 1 species
CGGCGAGUGAAGAUGGAAAAGCUCAGACUUGAAAUCCGCGAUUGUGAAAUAAUCGUGGAAUUGUAGUCUUUGAUGGCAGUCUACCAACGUUUGAAUCUCUGUUCUGAAAAUAAUCCAAGGAAAGGGUAGCCAAAGAGCGUGAAAGCCGCGUUGCCGGAACAGAGAUUUGGAGCAAAUAAGUGAGACGGUCAUUUCGAGUCGGGCUGUUUGGGAUUGCAGCCUCAAUCAUUGCGGUGUUAGACCACAUCGAAAGCUAAAUACGGAAAGGAGACCGAUAGCGAAGAAGUACUGCGAAGGAAAGGUGAAAAGGACUUUGAAGAGAGAGUCAAAAGAACUUGAAAUCGUCAUGAGGGAAGCGAAGUCGUCGAGAUGAAGCGACAAUUGUGGGAGGUGGUGUAAAAACUACUACUUGCAGUUGUCGUGGCCAUGCAGUGAUUUGGGAAUGAGUAAAGAUGGGUUUUGUGAAGAGGAUCAGAAGUCAAAUUCUGAAGACCGGCACAGAGCAACAAAUACUGCUCUCCUAGAUCAUGAUUCGCGAGGAAGGAAGAUUUAUCAAGGUGCUUAAACGCGCCUAAUCCUCUCCCG